GAUGAGCGCUGGCGGCGUGCCUAAUACAUGCAAGUCGAGCGAACCACUUCGGUGGUGAGCGGCGAACGGGUGAGUAACACGUAGGUGAUCUGCCCAUCAGACGGGGACAACGAUUGGAAACGAUCGCUAAUACCGGAUAGGACGAAAGUUUAAAGGUGCUUCUGGCACCGCUGAUGGAUGAGCCUGCGGCGCAUUAGCUAGUUGGUAGGGUAAAGGCCUACCAAGGCGACGAUGCGUAGCCGACCUGAGAGGGUGAACGGCCACACUGGGACUGAGACACGGCCCAGACUCCUACGGGAGGCAGCAGUAGGGAAUCUUCGGCAAUGGGCGAAAGCCUGACCGAGCAACGCCGCGUGAAUGAUGAAGGCCUUCGGGUUGUAAAAUUCUGCUAUAAGGGAAGAACGACUUUAGUAGGAAAUGGCUAGAGUGUGACGGUACCUCAUGAGAAAGCCACGGCUAACUACGUGCCAGCCGCCGCUGUAA
rnacentral:rRNA from 1 species